UCCCUGGUAGUAUAUCGGUUAGUACACGCGCCUGUCAUCCGCUGAAGGUGCGCGCGAAAGCGGGGUUCGACUCCCCGCCAGGGAG
rnacentral:tRNA from 1 species